rnacentral:lncRNA from 1 species
GUGCUUUCAUCUCUCACCAUCACUAGCAAACCACAGAGUGUUGAUGCCUGACAAACUUUGAUCUCCGAGCCAAUCAGAGUCCCAUGGAUACGCUAGCGAUAUAGCGCCAAUUAAUUGGCUUUGAGAGACUGGAAGACAUUGCGUGAUACGUGCCACCUAGUCGGUGCCAACAAAUCAAUAGAUUUGGCUCUCCUAUUCCCAACCAAAAAAAAAAA